rnacentral:rRNA from 1 species
AUUGAACGCUGGCGGCAGGCUUAACACAUGCAAGUCGAACGAGCGGCGGACGGGUGAGUAAUGUCUGGGAAUCUGGCUGAUGGAGGGGGAUAACUACUGGAAACUGUCGCUAAUACCGCAUACCAUCGGAUGAGCCCAGAUGGGAUUAGGUAGUAGGUGGGGUAAUGGCUCACCAAGGCGACGAUCCCUAGCUGGUCUGAGAGGAUGACCAGCCACACCGGAACUGAGACACGGCCCAGACUCCUACGGGAGGCAGCAGUGGGGAAUAUUGCGCAAUGGGCGCAAGCCUGACGCAGCCAUGCCGCGUGAAUGAAGAAGGCCUUCGGGUUGUAAAGCACUUUCGGUGAGGAGGCGUUAAUCGCAGAAGAAGCACCGGCUAACUCCGUGCCAGCAGCCGCGGUAAUAC